CUGGUAACCAUAGCCAAGAGGUCACACCUGUUCCCAUGCCGAACACAGAAGUUAAGCUCUUGAACGCCGAUGGUAGUUGGGACUUUGUCCCUGUGAGAGUAGGACGUUGCCAGGC
rnacentral:rRNA from 2 species